GAUGAACGCUGGCGGCGUGCCUAAUACAUGCAAGUAGAACGCUGAAGGAGGAGCUUGCUCUUCUGGAUGAGUUGCGAACGGGUGAGUAACGCGUAGGUAACCUGCCUGGUAGCGGGGGAUAACUAUUGGAAACGAUAGCUAAUACCGCAUGACAACAGUUAUUGCAUGAUAACUGUUUAAAAGGGGCAACUGCUCCACUACCAGAUGGACCUGCGUUGUAUUAGCUAGUUGGUGAGGUAACGGCUCACCAAGGCGACGAUACAUAGCCGACCUGAGAGGGUGAUCGGCCACACUGGGACUGAGACACGGCCCAGACUCCUACGGGAGGCAGCAGUAGGGAAUCUUCGGCAAUGGACGGAAGUCUGAACGAGCAACGCCGCGUGAGUGAAGAAGGUUUUCGGAUCGUAAAGCUCUGUUGUAAGAGAAGAACGAGUGUGAGAGUGGAAAGUUCACACUGUGACGGUAUCUUACCAGAAAGGGACGGCUAACUACGUG
rnacentral:rRNA from 1 species